GUCACUUUGCCGGAGUGGUUAACGGGAUCGCCUGCUACUUUCUCAAGUAGGCAUUCAGCGGUUGCUCUUUGAGCGCGUGUGUUCGAAUCGCACAGGUGACG